rnacentral:lncRNA from 1 species
CCUACAUACUUUUGGUCAUAUUAUUUUUUCAUGUUACUGAUCAAUGCACUGAUAUGUCAUAAGAAAUAUUAAAACUGUUGAUAUUUAAUCUCUAAUUAUUUAGUAUUUGUUACCUUUUAUGUUCUUUUUUAGAAAUUAUUAAUCACAGAAAUUUAUUCAUAAACCAAGUCAGAUUUCUAACAAAUAUAUACUAUUGAUCUGUCACCCAUA